AGGAAUAUUGGUCAAUGGGCGAGAGCCUGAACCAGCCAAGUAGCGUGAAGGAUGACUGCCCUAUGGGUUGUAAACUUCUUUUAUAAAGGAAUAAAGUCGGGUAUGCAUACCCGUUUGCAUGUACUUUAUGAAUAAGGAUCGGCUAACUCCGUGCCAGCAGCCGCGGUAAUACGGAGGAUCCGAGCGUUAUCCGGAUUUAUUGGGUUUAAAGGGAGCGUAGAUGGAUGUUUAAGUCAGUUGUGAAAGUUUGCGGCUCAACCGUAAAAUUGCAGUUGAUACUGGAUAUCUUGAGUGCAGUUGAGGCAGGCGGAAUUCGUGGUGUAGCGGUGAAAUGCUUAGAUAUCACGAAGAACUCCGAUUGCGAAGGCAGCCUGCUAAGCUGCAACUGACAUUGAGGCUCGAAAGUGUGGGUAUCAAACAGGAUUAGAUACCCUGGUAGUCCACACGGUAAACGAUGAAUACUCGCUGUUUGCGAUAUACGGCAAGCGGCCAAGCGAAAGCGUUAAGUAUUCCACCUGGGGAGUACGCCGGCAACGGUGAAACUCAAAGGAAUUGACGGGGGCCCGCACAAGCGGAGGAACAUGUGGUUUAAUUCGAUGAUACGCGAGGAACCUUACCCGGGCUUAAAUUGCAGAUGAAUUACGGUGAAAGCCGUAAGCCGCAAGGCAUCUGUGAAGGUGCUGCAUGGUUGUCGUCAGCUCGUGCCGUGAGGUGUCGGCUUAAGUGCCAUAACGAGCGCAACCCUUGCUGUCAGUUACUAACAGGUUCCGCUGAGGACUCUGACAAGACUGCCAUCGUAAGAUGUGAGGAAGGUGGGGAUGACGUCAAAUCAGCACGGCCCUUACGUCCGGGGCUACACACGUGUUACAAUGGGGGGUACAGAGGGCCGCUACCACGCGAGUGGAUGCCAAUCCCAAAAACCUCUCUCAGUUCGGACUGGAGUCUGCAACCCGACUCCACGAAGCUGGAUUCGCUAGUAAUCGCGCAUCAGCCACGGCGCGGUGAAUACGUUCCCG
rnacentral:rRNA from 1 species